GGGAAGUAAAAGAAAAUGUUUACGCCAGUUUCCCCUGAAGGAGAAAGUCCCGAGUCGAGAGCCUCAGUGUUGACAAUCCGCUCGGAGGAGGUAGACGCUGCCCGCCGCCUCUCCCUCUGUCCCUUCACUCUCCGUUUCUCCUCGGGAAUUGUGUCCGUUGUCAUUGUGAGCCGAGAGGACCAGCAGUCGGGAAUGAAGUUCUUACUCUACUUAGCCCUCGUCCGGUCCCUGCUGGUGCACGGCAGAGCGUCCUGGGGCAACGUUGACUGGGACGUGAUCAUCUUCACCCAGCAGUGGCCCAUCACCAGCUGCAUCCACCACCUGGCCCAAAACCCGAAAGCCUCCUGUAACCUGUUUCCAAACAUGACAUCGUGGACUGUCCAUGGCAUAUGGCCCACAAAAUUAGGCACAAUCGGCCCAAAUUACUGCAACAAGUCAUGGGAUUUCCAGGAGUCCGAAAUCCUCAACAUUGAGCCUUACUUGAUAAAGUAUUGGGGCAACAUUUUUGGAGAGGACUCGCGCACUUCCCUCUGGAGCCAUGAGUGGAAGAAGCAUGGGACCUGCGCUGCUCAGCUGCCGUCACUUAACUCUGAAAAGAAGUAUUUUGAAAAAGGCCUGGAAUGGGUGACACAGUAUGACUACGUAGCCGUAUUGGGGCAGCACAAAAUUUAUCCCGAUGACGUCCAGACGUACACGAGAGAGGCCAUAUUUGCAGCUGUUAAGGACAUGUUUGGUGUGGAUCCUUCCAUUGACUGCAUCUACAAUAAGAAAACCAAACAGCAUGAGUUAUCCCAGAUCAAGCUGUGUUUCGACCGCUCGCUGCAUCUGGUGGAUUGCGACGGCAUCAUUGGUGCAAAUGAAGAGAAGGUCCUUGGAAACUGUCCCUUUAAGGGGAUUACAUACCCGGCAUCAGUGAGGACAGGAGGCAAGAACUAUCACUAUCCCCACGAGCUGGUGGAACUUCGGAAACAGCGCUGGGAGGUGGCACAGGCCACAUGCGUAUCCUGGCUCUGCCAUGCACUCAUGACUGUCUAUUCACUGAUGUGGAUAACCUUAUAAUGGAAUAUUUCUGAAGCAAAAAUGGAUAUGUGGAUUCUGAUUUAUCAGAUGGCUCGUGAAGUGCUCCUUCACAACACUAAUGAGGAGGAAAGCUCGCGUUGAAAAGAAUAACUUCCCGAGGAAUGUCAAAUUGAUCCUGAGGCUUCUCUGCUCCUCCUCCUUGUGAUAUCAAGCUCAAUCUCAAGUGCUCUUUAGAUUUUAGCAGUAUUGAAACACCUCACUUUCACCAGUUCAUUGUUUCAAAUUCACUGCAUUCUGGCAUAGUGAGAGCCUAAAAGACAAAGUGGGGUGCAUCUGCCGCUCUAUAUGACCUUGACAUUCUUUAUUUUUUGGACAAAAGAGGGGUUAGAGCAUUAUACUGGAGUUCAAGAGUGAAGAAUGGAAUAUAGUCUUUCUCGUGGUGAUAAAAGUUUCAUUUCUAUAUGUUAAAUACAGUAUAAUGGAAAUCAAGUGUAAUUUGUAUAUGUGGAUAUGUCUUUCCCUGAUUGCUAGUUACUGUAUUUAGCAAUUAAGAGUUUUUUUUUCUCUUCUUGUUGUUAAAGAUUUUUGAAAAUAUCAGAAUGUCUAUACAACUUGUAUUUAUAUUUGUAUUUGAUAGUGUGCUUUCAACUGAAAAUGCCUAUGAAGUCACUGACAUCAGACAUUAUGUGUAUAUGGGAAACUAGUUUCAGAAGUCAUAGAAAAGGGUAAAUUAAGGCU